UACGGAGGGUGCAAGCGUUAUCCGGAUUCACUGGGUUUAAAGGGUGCGUAGGAGGGCAGGUAAGUCAGUGGUGAAAUCUCUGGGCUCAACCCGGAACUGCCGUUGAUACUAUCUGUCUUGAAUACUGUGGAGGUGAGCGGAAUAUGUCAUGUAGCGGAGUGAAUGCUUAGAUAUGACAUAGAACACCAAUUGCGAAGGCAGCUGGCUACACAAAUAUUGACACUGAGCACGAAAGCGUGGGGAUCAAACAGG
rnacentral:rRNA from 1 species